UGGUCGGAAGUCAUUCAGCUCAAAAAACAGGCAUGUGAAAUACAACCUCGAAAAUGCGAACAUCAAUAGAAUGACAUAAAUUCAAUAGAAUAAUAAUAAAUAACCGCAUAGAAUGACAACAUUACAUGAAAAACGCUAGGAAAAAAAUACACGGAUAUCCUUGAUUUCAAUGGAACAACUUUGCAAUUCAAUUUAAAAACCGACAACUUUUUAAUUACCGCCCUUCGGCUUGCUAAUUCCUCAUUACAAUUAAUAGAGGUUUUGCUGCGUUUUAUCUUAAAAAGCUAUAUGCUAGACGCAUUAAAACCAACAGUUCUAUAGGGAAUAAUCUGUAGUAAGCACCUACCUUAAAAAUUUAAGUUAUUUUUGAAUUCAUUAUGUCUCCAGGCGCCAAGAGACAUCCCAAUACUCGCAAUUAUUUUAAAUACUUAAAGUAAAACCUGAAGCUCGCAAAAAAACGUAUGUGCUUAAAUUAGUGCCGCACAACGUCUGUGUUUAGUUCCUUUAUUACAAAUACUGGAAAACUAGGAAAACUAAUUUCAGGUAGGUAUAUGGGUAAUACGUGCUAUGGUCCUCAAUAUGAAAAAAGCAGAAAACGACUACAACGAAGUGAAAAAGAAAUCAUAUUUGUUUUGCCCAUAGUAGUAGUUACGACUGAUUCAAAUAGGCAAUAUGUCGUUUACGACCCCGCUAAAAUUAUGGCGUCCGAUCAAGAUCAUCAUAGAUUGAGUACAGAAAGUGUUCAAAACAGUUCUAGAAGAGUAUUGAAACAUAAACCAACUCUGUUCCAACCGGUCAGGCUAUUGCGAAAAAUCAUGUACCGAUCUGGUUUACAAGAGCAAGACAACAGCACAGGGAACCAAGAGAGGAAAGAGCUGAAUACACCUUUAAAUUGCAUAAUCGAACAUUUUCCAACUACAGCUUUAGAACAAAAAGAUUUAAAUUCAUAAUCGUUAAGGAAAUAUGCCCUUACUGACCAGACGUAGAAAAUUAAUAAACAGAACCUAAAUAACAAUAUAUUUUUUAGUCAAUUUGAUUAGAUUAGAUCUUUGAUUUCCAA